CUAGAAGUGUGUGCUGUUUUGGCCAGUGGGGCAUGGAAAAGUGUGUUUCCUCUGUGUCAUUACAACGCCAUUCAUCCGGAUGUCAGGCCUCCGCUUCAGUCAUCCAUCGUAGAGACUCUGAUCGGUGUUGGCUCUGGUGCCAUACCUGUGCUUGGCGAAGGUCAAAUCACUGUCGAGAUCAAUAACCGUCAGGCGAGCCUCCUCUUCCUGGUUGCUGAUAUAGCUGGUGACGAGGCCCUCCUGGGCUAUCCAUUCCUGAGCCAGGCCCAGGCACGUCUUGAUUUUGGGAAUCAACGGAUUGUGCUUUUCGUAGAAGGGGUGCCAUAUUUCGAUUCCACAAACAAAACAAAGGCGCAAGCAGUGAGAGUGGCCCGGACGACGUUGCUGGAGGCUGGACAGGAGUAUGUGGACACGCUGGACACCCUCUCUGAUGCCAAGUGGAUCAGCACCCUGGACCACGCGGCCGGCUACUGCGCUUGAUGGACCACGUGCUGACUGGCAUGCAGUGGGAGACCUGCCUAGUGUACCUGGACGACAUCAUCGUUCUGGGCAGCGAUGUUCCGCAGAUGCUGCAGCGACUUGGCCAGGUCGUCUCCACCAGGCCAAACUGAAACUAAAACCGUCGAAGUGCUGCCUCUUCCGCCGCCAAGUAGCCUAUCUGGGUCACAUUGUUUCAGAGAGCAGUGUGUUGCCACUGACCCCAACAAAGUCCAGAAAGUGCAGGACUCACCAACAGCGAAGUCACUCGAAGAUGUCCGUCGCUUUGUGGGCCUUGCACCUUACUAUCGGCGGUUCGAUACGCAGGAAGAUGACGCAGACAUCAGGUCCUGGUUGGAAACCAGCGGAGAACGUCCUGCAUGGGUAACAGUCUCAUCAUGCAGCCCAGCCACAUUAACAUAUUGGAGCCAGUGUAAGCCCUCGUUCUCAAAGGCCCCAACGCAGGCGUAGACCACCGACUCAGUUUGGUGAGUGGGUGGCUCACUGAGUGCCCGGGGCAUGGGCAGUUCCAAGAGUUAAAGGGCAAUGUUUACAAUGUUAUAAAUAAAAAAGAAGUUGCUUACCGCUUAUAUUUUGCUUA
ensembl:lncRNA